rnacentral:tRNA from 1 species
ACUUGAUUAGUUUAUUUUUAAAAUUUUAAAUUGUGGAUUUAAAGAAGCUAAAAGCAUUAAGUA